GAUGAAGAACGUAGCAAAAUGCGAUACUUGGUGUGAAUUGCAGAAUCCCGUGAACCAUCGAGUUUUUGAACGCAAGUUGCGCCCGAAGCCAUUCGGCUGAGGGCACGUCUGCCUGGGCGUCACGCAUCGCGUCGCUCCCACCAUACCUUCCUUCGGGAUGCUAGGUUGGGGGCGGAUAAUGGCCUCCCGUUCCUCACGGAGUGGUUGGUCAAAAUAAAAGUCCCCUUUGAUGGAUGUCGGGUGUCUUGUCAAAAGGGUGCAACUUAAUAGACCCAACGCGUUGUCAUGAAACAACGCAUCGACCGCUACCCCACGUCAGGCGAGACUACCCGCUGAGUUUAAGCAUAUCAAUAAGCGGAGGA
rnacentral:misc_RNA from 1 species